AAUUGUGGCCAAACCAUGUCAAAGCCCGAUCUCAUCAGACUUCAGAAGCUAAAAGGAUUAGGUCUGGUUAGUACUUGGAUGGGACACUGCUGGGAAUACCACGUGCCACAGUCG
rnacentral:rRNA from 1 species